GUCUGUUGAUUCCUGGUUUAGGGGAGUCCCCCUCUGGGAUACCUCUUGAACAAGAUGCAGGUUACAAUCCAGGAACCAGCAUUUACAAAGUGGUUGCGUCUUAGUCGAGGCACCUGAAGCAGCCUGCGUCAGCAGGACCCUGGGCCCGAAUUUCAGCAGAGUGGCUGCCACCGUGAGCAUCAGAUCUGCGGGUGUUGGAUGAUGAUUGACUAAACACACCAAUGCACUCCUCUACUGCAGAGCCAAAGAUGACUGCUGGUGUUUGGGAGGAAAGUCUCUGUGGACUGAUGGAGCACAGGAAAUGCCUCAGCCUCUGGACGCCUCUUACCUCUCCCGUGAAGCACUUUAAGAACUCGGAAAAACUCAAUUGCAAAGGAAAAGCAUUUGGCUCUCAAUGUUUCAUGUUCUGUUCCCGCUCC